UCUGAAUUCCACCACUAGAAGUGUUUGAGUGGAGCCCAAGCAUUAUUGUUACUUCAGACAGCUGGAGAUACCAGUCACAAAGUCUCUGAUACAAUUCUCCUUUUUCCCCAACUUUGAGGCUGACUUUCUGAUAUCCAAAGACCUCUACUUAAUCGGACAUCUAUGAGACAUCUGCAGGAGCUUAACCCCAAGUAAAUUUUGGGGUACCUGGUGAUCAUCUAAAAGUAACUCCCAUAUUCCAGUUUACUAUCAGACUGCUAAGCACCAGACAGACUGAAGUGGCAACAUGCCUAGAGACGAUGAAGGUGAAUGCCAAAAGAGGCAUUAAAAAUUUGGCUCCUGUUAAAUGCCUUCGAAGAAACUGCUGUUUUCAUCAGGAAAUGGCAAUUACACAGGUUUUCUGUUACGGAACCUCUGCUCCUUGGUGUUUUCAUGAUACAGAAGUUGAAUUUCCAUUCAUUCAAAGAAUUUCUUUGUGAAGAGGCUGGCUUUAAAGAAUAUUCACAUAUUACAAUGCAGAAGGAUGAGGAGAUAUCGAAAGGAAAAGAACAAAGAGGAAGAAGAGGAAAUGGAGGAUGAAGAAAGAAGGAAAAAGAAGCUCAUAGGUGAUAUUUUUGACCCAGUUAUACACAUGACCAAAAUCCUAAUCCAUUCAGUUAAUUUCUCUUUUGACAUCACUACAAUAAAAACUUUUCAA